ACCCAGACUUUGGCGUGCACCUGGCAUACAAUGUAGAAAACUGUGUUUGCAAAGCAACAGCUACAUUGUCUGCUGGGUUUCAUGCUGAAUGGA